GACGAACGCUGGCGGCGUGCUUAACACAUGCAAGUCGAACGGAAAGGCCCUGCUUUUGUGGGGGGCUCGAGUGGCGAACGGGUGAGUAACACGUGAGUAACCUGCCCGUGACUUUGGGAUAACUUCAGGAAACUGGGGCUAAUACCGGAUAGGAGCUCCUGCUGCAUGGUGGGGGUUGGAAAGUUUCGGCGGUUGGGGAUGGACUCGCGGCUUAUCAGCUUGUUGGGGGGGUAGUGGCUUACCAAGGCUUUGACGGGUAGCCGGCAUGAGAGGGUGACCGGCCACAUUGGGACUGCGAUACGGCCCAGACUCCUACGGGAGGCAGCAGUGGGGAAUAUUGCACAGUGGGCGGAAGCCUGAUGCAGCAACGCCGCGUGCGGGAUGACGGCCUUCGGGUUGUAAACCGCUUUCGCCUGUGACGAAGCGUGAGUGACGGUAAUGGGUAAAGAAGCACCGGCUAACUACGUG
rnacentral:rRNA from 1 species